UGGGGAAUAUUGCGCAAUGGGCGAAAGCCUGACGCAGCGACGCCGCGUGAGGGAUGAAGGUUUUCGGAUCGUAAACCUCUGUCAGAAGGGAAGAAACCGCACUGUGCUAAUCAGCAGUGCCUUGACGGUACCUUCAAAGGAAGCACCGGCUAACUCCGUGCCAGCAGCCGCGGUAAUACGGAGGGUGCAAGCGUUAAUCGGAAUUACUGGGCGUAAAGGGUGCGCAGGCGGCUUUACAAGUUGGAUGUGAAAUAUUGUGGCUCAACCACAAACGUGCAUCCAAAACUGCAAAGCUUGAGUUAAGGAGAGGUAAGUGGAAUUCCUGGUGUAGCGGUGGAAUGCGUAGAUAUCAGGAGGAAUACCGGUGGCGAAGGCGACUUACUGGACUUAAACUGACGCUCAGGCACGAAAGCGUGGGGAGCAAAC
rnacentral:rRNA from 1 species